CCUCCUGAGUGGACAGCGGCGUCCCGCUCGGGUUUAUCCCACCUCUUCUGUCGCGUUCCACCAAUGCGUGAAGGCAGCUUCGCUUCGAAACCAAAAGAGAGAAAAAAAAUCCACUGGGGAGUCUUCAUUUUGGACCUUAAAAUAUUUCUUCUAUGGGAAGUUAAAGGUCUACUCAGCUUCACAAAGCAGAGAUGUCUGGAAACUGAAGUAACUGGGGAGAGGAUCUCACAUGUCCCCCCUGUCUUAGUGAACAGCUUCACUGUUCACUAAGAGCAGCAGCUGAUUCAAACUCUUGAUACACCUGCACUUUGGGGCAGAAGUUGAUUUUGAGAGCAGAUUAAAGUCACAGGA